rnacentral:rRNA from 1 species
GCCUAACACAUGCAAGUCGAACGAGAAAGUUGGCUUCGGCCGAUGAGUAAAGUGGCGCACGGGUGAGUAACGCGUGGAUAAUCUGCCCUUUAGUUUGGAAUAACGUACCGAAAGGUGCGCUAAUACCGGAUAAUACUGAAUGACUACUGUCGUUUAGUCAAAGAAGGCUUCUGUUUACAUGCUUUUGCUGAAGGAUGAGUCCGCGUACCAUUAGCUAGUUGGUGGGGUAAAGGCUCACCAAGGCGACGAUCAGUAGCGGGUCUGAGAGGAUGAUCCGCCACACUGGGACUGAGACACGGCCCAGACUCCUACGGGAGGCAGCAGUGGGGAAUUUUGGACAAUGGGGGCAACCCUGAUCCAGCCAUUCCGCGUGAGUGAAGAAGGCCUUCGGGUUGUAAAGCUCUUUCAGCUGGAGCGAAACGGUACGCUCUAACAUAGCGUGCUAAUGACGGUACCAGCAGAAGAAGCACCGGCUAACUACGUGCCAGCAGCCGCGGUAAUACGUAGGGUGCGAGCGUUAAUCGGAAUUACUGGGCGUAAAGCUGCGCAGGCGGAUUGUUAAGCAGACGUGAAAUCCCCGGGCUUAACCUGGGAAUGGCGUUUUGAACUGGCAGUCUAGAGUGCGUCAGAGGGGGGUGGAAUUCCACGUGUAGCAGUGAAAUGCGUAGAGAUGUGGAGGAACACCGAUGGCGAAGGCAGCCCCCUGGGAUGACACUGACGCUCAUGUACGAAAGCGUGGGUAGCAAACAGGAUUAGAUACCCUGGUAGUCCACGCCCUAAACGAUGUCAACUGGUUGUUGGGGGAGUGAAAUCCCUUAGUAACGAAGCUAACGCGUGAAGUUGACCGCCUGGGGAGUAUCUUGUUUUUCAAGAUUAAAACUCAAAGGAAUUGACGGGGACCCGCCACAAGCGGUGGAUGAUGUGGAUUAAUUCGAUGCACUGCGAAAAACCUUACCUACCCUUGACAUGUCCGGAAUCCUGCAGAGAUGCGGGAGUGCCCGAAAGGGAAUCGGAACACAGGUGCUGCAUGGCUGUCGUCAGCUCGUGUCGUGAGAUGUUGGGUUAAGUCCCGCAACGAGCGCAACCCUUAUCAUUAGUUGCUACGCAAGGGCACUCUAAUGAGACUGCCGGUGACAAGCCGGAGGAAGGUGGGGAUGACGUCAAGUCCUCAUGGCCCUUAUGGGUAGGGCUUCACACGUCAUACAAUGGUCGGUACAGAGGGUUGCCAAGCCGCGAGGCGGAGCCAAUCCCAGAAAGCCGUAUCGUUAAGUCCGGAUUGUUCUCUGCAACUCGAGAGCAUGAAGUCCGGAAUCGCUAGUAAUCGCGGAUCAGCAUGUCGCGGUGAAUACGUUCCCGGGUCUUGUACACACCCGCCCCGUUCACACCAUGGGAGUGGAAUCUUGGCAAAAGUANGUACCCUAACCCGCAAGGAGGGCGCUUACCACCGCUGGGGUUCAUGACUGGGGUGAAUUNUUANCNGUACCCAGGCGAAUUUGCNAUAUCCNUUNCCCUGGCGGCGUU